GCCGUUAUCGUCUAGUUUGGUUUAGGACGCCACCCUCUCACGGUGGAAACAUGGGUUCAAAUCCCGUUAACGGCGCCA
rnacentral:tRNA from 2 species